rnacentral:rRNA from 1 species
GACGAACGCUGGCGGCGUGCUUAACACAUGCAAGUCGAACGAUGAAGCCCAGCUUGCUGGGUGGAUUAGUGGCGAACGGGUGAGUAACACGUGGGCAACCUGCCCCAAACUCUGGGAUAACUCCUCGAAAGAGGUGCUAAUACCGGAUACGAACUAGGUAGACAUCUGCACUAGUUGGAAAGUUUUUCGGUUUGGGAUGGGCCCGAGGCCUAUCAGCUUGUUGGUGAGGUAACGGCUCACCAAGGCUACGACGGGUAACCGGCCUGAGAGGGCGACCAGACACAAUGGAACUGAGACACGGUCCAUACUCCUACGGGAGGCAGCAGUGAGGAAUCUUCCGCAAUGGGCGAAAGCCUGACGGAGCGACACCGCGUGGAGGACGAAGGCCUUUUGGUUGUAAACUCCUUUUCUGGGGGAAUAAUUGAUGAAGGUACCCCAGGAAUAAGCACCGGCUAACUACGUGCCAGCCGCCGCAGUAA